CCCUUAGAUGUUCUGGGCCGCACGCGCGCUACACUGAUGCAUUCAACGAGUUUCUUCCUGGUCCGAGAGGAAUGGGUAACCUUUUGAAAGUGCAUCGUGAUAGGGAUAGACUAUUGCAAUUAUUGGUCUCCAACGAGGAAUUCCUAGUAGACGUAGUUCAUCAGACUGCAUCGAUUACGUCCCUGCCCUUUGUACACACCGCCCGUCGCUCCUACCGAUUGAAUGUGUUGGUGAGGAGCUCGGAUUGGCAGCAGUUGGUGGUUCGCCACCGGCUAUUGUUGAGAAGUCCUCCAAACCGCCCCAUUUAGAGGAAGGAGAAGUCGUAACA
rnacentral:rRNA from 1 species